UGGCCGAGGUGACAGGAUUCGAACCUGCAUAAAGGAAUUUAGAAGACUCCUGCCUCUCCCUUAGACUACACCCCG
rnacentral:tRNA from 2 species